rnacentral:rRNA from 2 species
AAGACGGGCCCCCGCACAAGCGGUGGAGCAUGUGGUUUAAUUCGAAGCAACGCGAAGAACCUUACCAGGUCUUGACAUCCUCUGACAUGUCUAGAGAUAGAGCGAACCCCUUCGGCCCACAGAGUGACAGGUGGUGCAUGGUUGUCGUCAGCUCGUGUCGUGAGAUGUUGGGUUAAGUCCCGCAACGAGCGCAACCCUUGGAUCUUAGUUGCCAGCAAAAAGUUGGGCACUCUAAGGUGACUGCCGGUGACAAACCGGAGGAAGGUGGGGAUGACGUCAAAUCAUCAUGGGGGUUAUGACCUGGGCUACACACGUGCUACAAUGGAUGGUACAAAGGGCUGCAAGACCGCGAGGUCAAGCCAAUCCCAUAAAACCAUUCUCAGUUCGGAUUGUAGGCUGCAACUCGCCUACAUGAAGCUGGAAUCGCUAGUAAUCGCGGAUCAGCAUGCCGCGGUGAAUACGUUGGGGGGCCUUGUACACACCGCCCGUCACACCACGAGAGAAAGUAACACCCGAAGUCGGUGGAGUAACCGUAAGGAGCUAGCCGCCACCAAAUAAGGGGCGCCCCGGGCCCAAUUAAAUUGGAAAAACUU